rnacentral:rRNA from 1 species
UACGUAGGGGGCAAGCGUUGUCCGGAUUUAUUGGGCGUAAAGCGCACGCAGGCGGUGCGGCAAGUCACAAGUGACAGGUGGUGGCUUAACUACCACAGGUCUUGAGAAACUGCUGCACUUGAGGGCUUGAGAGGGACGCGGAAUUCCAGGUGGAGCGGUGAAAUGCGUAGAGAUCUGGAAGAACACCAAAGGCGAAGGCAGCGUCCUGGCGAGUCACUGACGCUCAGGUGCGAAAGCUAGGGGAGCGAACGGG